AACUCUCUUCAAGGGCUCUGUCCCUCAAGGUCUGGGCUCCACAGCCAGGCUACACCCCUCCCAGGCAGGCUCCGCCUGCUCUCAGGUUUCCAAGGCUAUAGAGGCAAGAGCCUGAUCAAAUGUUCCCCUGCCACCCGCGGGGACAGCCCAGCCCUGUCCUCUCCUGCAGGUUACCGGACGGGUCUGUGAGGACACUGCUUGGGGACCUGUCCUGCGGGCCACCUCUCUAGGAUGACAGACACCUGCUGGUUGUGCCCUCUUCCAGGAGUGGGUAACAGCGAGCAUGGGGCACCGCGUGGGGAUCCCAGUGGCACCCCAGGUUACGUGGUAAAUGGGACUCUUCUACCACAGUUCCUAACAUGACAUCUUGUGCCAACAUAGGCCAAAGCAGUGAGGCUGAUGGGUCAUGUAUGAAGCUUCCAUUAUCAAGAGCCAAAAUAAACCUUUCCUCUUUUUAUGUUGA